rnacentral:sRNA from 1 species
CCCCAUGGCCACUAUCUCCUUCAGGGUCGGCUCGUGCUCAUCAUCCUGUGCUCCGUGGUCUUCUCUGCCGUCUACAUCCUCCUGUGCUGCUGGGCCGGCCUGCCUCUCUGCCUGGCCACCUGCCUGGACCACCACUUCCCCACAGGCUCCAGGCCCACCGUGCCGGGCCCCCUGCACUUCAGUGGAUAUAGCAGUGUGCCAGAUGGGAAGCCACUGGUCCGCGAGCCGUGCCGCAGCUGUGCCGUGGUGUCCAGCUCCGGCCAAAUGCUGGGCUCAGGCCUGGGUGCUGAGAUCGACAGUGCUGAGUGCGUGUUCCGCAUGAACCAGGCGCCCACCGUGGGCUUUGAGGCGGACGUGGGCCAGCGCAGCACCCUGCGUGUCAUCUCACACACAAGCGUGCCGCUGCUGCUGCGCAACUAUUCACACUACUUCCAGAAGGCCCGAGACACGCUCUACGUGGUGUGGGGCCAGGGCAGGCACAUGGACCGGGUGCUUGGCGGCCGC